rnacentral:rRNA from 1 species
GACGAACGCUGGCGGCGUGCCUAACACAUGCAAGUCGAACGAGGUCCAUGAGAGCUUGCUCUCGGAAGACCUAGUGGCGAACGGGUGAGUAACACGUGAGCAACCUGCCCUUCACUCUGGAAUAACCACCGGAAACGGUGGCUAAUACCGGAUACGAGACGUACACGCAUGUGUCGCGUCUGGAAAGAUUUAUCGGUUUGGGAGGGCCUCGUGGCCUAUCAGCUUGUUGGCGAGGUAACGGCUCACCAAGGCUUCGACGGGUAGCUGGUCUGAGAGGAUGAUCAGCCACACUGGGACUGAGACACGGCCCAGACUCCUACGGGAGGCAGCAGUGGGGAAUCUUGCACAAUGGGCGAAAGCCUGAUGCAGCAACGCCGCGUGCGGGAAGAAGGCCCUAGGGUUGUAAACCGCUUUCAGCAGGGAAGAAAAUGACGGUACCUGUAGAAGAAGGUGCGGCCAACUACGUGC